UACGUAGGGGGCAAGCGUUGUCCGGAAUCAUUGGGCGUAAAGCGCGUGUAGGCGGCUUGGUAAGUCCGCUGUAAAAGUCAAAGGCUCAACCUUUGAAUGUCAGUGGAUACUGUCGGGCUAGAGUCCGGAAGAGGCGAGUGGAACUCCUGGUGUAGCGGUGGAAUGCGCAGAUAUCAGGAAGAACACCAACGGCGAAGGCAGCUCGCUAGGACGGUACUGACGCUGAGACGCGAAAGCGUGGGGAGCGAACAGG
rnacentral:rRNA from 1 species